UACGUAGGGUGCAAGCGUUGUCCGGAAUUAUUGGGCGUAAAGAGCUCGUAGGUGGCCUGUCGCGUCGGCUGUGAAGACUCGGGGCUCAACUCCGAGCUUGCAGUCGAUACGGGCAGGCUAGAGUUCGGCAGGGGGAGACUGGAAUUCCUGGUGUAGCGGUGAAAUGCGCAGAUAUCAGGAGGAACACCGGUGGCGAAGGCGGGUCUCUGGGCCGAUACUGACACUGAGGAGCGAAAGCGUGGGGAGCGAACAGG
rnacentral:rRNA from 1 species